GCUCUGGCAGUUUAUAACUGCCUUUGCUUGUCAGUUCCUCCUUUCUUAGAGCCUCAAGGCCAGUCAUAGAGGUUCAACUGGCACAGUGCCAGCUCCUCGUCUGGCUCCCACAGGUGUCAGUUGGGCUGACAAGGUAAAGGCUCAUCAUACAGGCUCUACUGCUUCUUCAGAAAUAACACCCGCCCAGUCUUGCCCACCAAUGACAGUGCAGAAGGCCUCACGCAAAAAUGAACGGAAAGAUGCUGAAGGAUGGGAGACCGUUCAGAGAGGAAGGCCUAUUCGUUCUCGAUCAACAGCAGUGAUGCCAAAAGUUUCAUUGGCAACAGAAGCCACAAGAUCAAAGGAUGACAGUGAUAAAGAAAAUGUAUGUCUUUUACCUGAUGAAAGCAUACAGAAAGGUCAAUUUGUUGGAGAUGGAACUUCUAAUACUAUAGAAUCUCAUCCCAAAGACUCAUUACACUCUUGUGACCGUCCUCUUGCCGAAAAAACCCAGUUCACAGUGAGUACAUUGGAUGAUGUGAAGAAUUCUGGCAGUAUUCGAGACAAUUAUGUUCGAACUUCUGAA
rnacentral:sRNA from 1 species